AUUGAACGCUGGCGGCAUGCUUUACACAUGCAAGUCGAACGGCAGCGCGGGCUUCGGCCUGGCGGCGAGUGGCGAACGGGUGAGUAAUGCACCCGAACGUGCCCAGUAGAUGGGGAUAGCACGGCGAAAGCCGGCUGAAUAUCGCAUACGACCUGAGGUUGAACGCGGGGGACCGAAAGGGCUCGCGCGAUUUGCUGGGCCGAUGACGGAUUAGCUAGUUGGUGGGGUAAAGGCUUACCAAGGCGACGAUCCGUAGCUGGUCUGAGAGGACGACCAGCCACACUGGGACUGAGACACGGCCCAGACUCCUACGGGAGGCAGCAGUGGGGAAUUUUGGACAAUGGGGGCAACCCUGAUCCAGCCAUGCCGCGUGCGGGAAGAAGGCCUUCGGGUUGUAAACCGCUUUUGUUCGGGAAGAAAUCCUCUGGGCUAAUACCCCGGGGGGAUGACGGUACCGGAAGAAUAAGCACCGGCUAACUACGUG
rnacentral:rRNA from 1 species